rnacentral:rRNA from 1 species
CGGACGGGUGAGUAAUGUCUGGGAAACUGCCUGAUGGAGGGGGAUAACUACUGGAACGGUAGCUAAUACCGCAUAACGUCGCAAGACCAAAGAGGGGGACCUUAGGGCCUCUUGCCAUCGGAUGUGCCCAGAUGGGAUUAGCUAGUAGGUGGGGUAAUGGCUCACCUAGGCGACGAUCCCUAGCUGGUCUGAGAGGAUGACCAGCCACACUGGAACUGAGACACGGUCCAG